GAAUAUUGGACAAUGGGGGAACCCUGAUCCAGCCAUGCCGCGGGUGUGAAGAAGGCCUUUUGGUUGUAAAGCACUUUAAGCGAGGAGGGAGCUACUCUAGUUAAUACCUAGGGAUAGUGGCCGUUACUCGCAGAAUAAGCACCGGCCAACUCUGUGCCCGCCGCCCCGGUAAUACAGAGGGUGCAAGCGUUAAUCGGAUUUACUGGGCGUAAAGCGCGCGUAGGUGGCCAAUUAAGUCAAAUGUGAAAUCCCCGAGCUUAACUUGGGAAUUGCAUUCGAUACUGGUUGGCUAGAGUAUGGGAGAGGAUGGUAGAAUUCCAGGUGUAGCGGUGAAAUGCGUAGAGAUCUGGAGGAAUACCGAUGGCGAAGGCAGCCAUCUGGCCUAAUACUGACGCUGAGGCACGAAAGCAUGGGGAGCAAACA
rnacentral:rRNA from 1 species